rnacentral:rRNA from 1 species
GUUACAGCAGCCGCGGUAAUACGAAGGGAGCUAGCGUUGUUCGGAAUCACUGGGCGUAAAGCGCACGUAGGCGGAUGUGUCAGUCAGGGGUGAAAUCCCGGAGCUCAACUUCGGAACUGCCUUUGAUACAGCACAUCUGGAGUCCGGAAGAGGUGGGUGGAAUUCCUAGUGUAGAGGUGAAAUUCGUAGAUAUUAGGAAGAACACCGGUGGCGAAGGCGGCCCACUGGUCCGGUACUGACGCUGAGGUGCGAAAGCGUGGGGAGCAAACAGGAUUAGAACCCGGGUAGUCC